GCAAGCCUGACGGAGCAACGCCGCGUGAGGGAUGAAGGCCUUUGGGCUGUAAACCUCUUUUCUCAAGGAAGAACAUCUGACGGUACUUGAGGAAUAAGCCACGGCUAAUUCCGUGCCAGCAGCCGCGGUAAUACGGGAGUGGCAAGCGUUAUCCGGAAUUAUUGGGCGUAAAGCGUCCGCAGGCGGCCGUUUAAGUCUGUUGUUAAAUCGUGGAGCUCAACUCCAUCACGGCAAUGGAAACUGUUCGGCUUGAGUAUGGUAGGGGCAGAGGGAAUUUCCGGUGUAGCGGUGAAAUGCGUAGAUAUCGGGAAGAACACCAGUGGCAAAAGCGCUCUGCUGGGCCAUUACUGACGCUCAUGGACGAAAGCCAGGGGAGCGAAAGGGAUUAGAUACCCCUGUAGUCCUGGCCGUAAACGAUGAACACUAGAUGUUGGGGGAAUCGACCCCUCCAGUGUCGUAGCUAACGCGUUAAGUGUUCCGCCUGGGGAGUACGCACGCAAGUGUGAAACUCAAAGGAAUUGACGGGGGCCCGCACAAGCGGUGGAGUAUGUGGUUUAAUUCGAUGCAACGCGAAGAACCUUACCAAGGCUUGACAUCCUGCGAAUCUCCAAGAAAUUGGAGAGUGCCUUCGGGAACGCAGUGACAGGUGGUGCAUGGCUGUCGUCAGCUCGUGUCGUGAGAUGUUGGGUUAAGUCCCGCAACGAGCGCAACCCACGUUUUUAGUUGCCAGCAUUUAGUUGGGCACUCUAGAAAGACUGCCGGUGACAAACCGGAGGAAGGUGUGGACGACGUCAAGUCAUCAUGCCCCUUACGCCUUGGGCUACACACGUACUACAAUGCUGCGGACAAAGAGUAGCGAUCUUGCAAAAGUUAGCUAAUCUCGUAAACCGUGGCUCAGUUCAGAUCGUAGGCUGCAACUCGCCUACGUGAAGGAGGAAUCGCUAGUAAUCGCAGGUCAGCAUACUGCGGUGAAUACGUUCCCGGGCCUUGUACACACCGCCCGUCACACCAUGGAAGUUGGCC
rnacentral:rRNA from 1 species